GAUGAACGCUAGCUACAGGCUUAACACAUGCAAGUCGAGGGGAAACGACAUCGAAAGCUUGCUUUUGAUGGGCGUCGACCGGCGCACGGGUGAGUAACGCGUAUCCAACCUGCCCACCACUUGGGGAUAACCUUGCGAAAGUAAGACUAAUACCCAAUGACGUCUCUAGAAGACAUCCGAAAGAGACUAAAGAUUUAUCGGUGAUGGAUGGGGAUGCGUCGGAUUAGCUUGUUGGCGGGGUAACGGCCCACCAAGGCGACGAUCAGCAGGGGUUCUGAGAGGAAGGUCCCCCACAUUGGAACUGGGACACGGUCCAAACUCCUACGGGAGGCAGCAGUGAGGAAUAUUGGUCAAUGGGCGAGAGCCUGAACCAGCCAAGUAGCGUGCAGGAUGACGGCCCUAUGGGUUGUAAACUGCUUUUAUAAGGGAAUAAAGUGAGCCUCGUGAGGCUUUUUGCAUGUACCUUAUGAAUAAGGACCGGCUAAUUCCGUGCCAGCCGCCGCAGUAA
rnacentral:rRNA from 1 species